rnacentral:rRNA from 1 species
GCCUCAGUAAAUGCGAUUGAAGCGGCCGAAGCCCAAGAUGGUAAGCUCCCUGCUUCGCAGGGCGCGUUGUAACCUUGAGAUGCUAAGCUCACCGGUUGGUGGCGCAGAAGUGCCCUGGAACGGGUCGCCAGAGAGGGUGACAGCCCCGUACGUGGCGCCGCUGACUAACGAGCUGGUAUUCAAAGAGUCGGGUUCGUUGGUAUACGAGCCCUAAGUGGGAGAUAGACUUCUUCUAAGGCUAAAUAUAUGUAGGAAACCGAUAGCGAACAAGUACUGUGAAGGAAAGAUGAAAAGUGCUCUGGAAAGAGGGUCAAAAGACCUGAAACCGUUGAGGAGGAAGCGGUAGAGAUGUAUUCUACGGGUGGGCGCUGGAGGCUGAACUAGUUAUGUCUUUUAGGAGUACGUCAAUGGCUCUUGGGGGUUCUCUGGCGAGUUCAGCUGUAUGCGCCUAUUCGUGAGGCCGGAUGGGGUCGCGUCGCCGCAAAUGCUUUCUACAGUUGGGGUGCCUCGGUAUUCACUGUGGAUCUGCCGGUGGCGGUGUGGCCUGAGGGUGCUUUGUGCGAUCCGGCCAAAAUGGUCUUUACCGACCCGUCUUGAAACACGGACCAAGGAGUCUAACGUACGCGCGAGUGUGCCGGUGGAGAAACCGAUACGCGUAAUGAAAGUGACUGGUGCCAACCGCAAGGGGCAGCAUCGGCCGACCUGGAUCCUCGGUGAAAGGUUUGCGUAAGAGCGCGUCCGCUAGGACCCGAAAGAUGGUGAACUAUGCCUGAGUAGGGUGAAGCCAGGGGAAACUCUGGUGGAGGCUCGUAGAGAUACUGACGUGCAAAUCGUUCUUCGAACUUGGGUAUAGGGGCGAAAGACUAAUCGAACCAUCUAGUAGCUGGUUCCCUCCGAAGUUUCCCUCAGGAUAGCUGAGACAAUUGCGCAGUUUUAUUAGGUAAAGCGAAUGAUUAGAGGCAUCGGGGGCUUCAUGUUCUCGACCUAUUCUCAAACUUUAAAUUGGUAAGAACCCUGGCCUAUACUUAAUUGAGGUCAGGGGCUCAAUGCGUGUCUUUAGUGGGCCAUUUUUGGUAAGCAGAACUGGCGAUGAGGGAUGCACCUAACGUCGGGUUAAGGCGCCAAACUGCGCGCUCAUCAGACACUACAAAGGGUGUUGGUCCAUUUAGACAGCAGGACGGUGGCCAUGGAAGUCGGAACCCGCUAAGGAGUGUGUAACAACUCACCUGCCGAAUGGACUAGCCCCGAAAAUUGAUGGCGCUUAAGCGCGCGGCCGAUACCCGACCAUCGUUGCGAGAGUGAGGCAAUGAUGUGUAGGAGGGCGUGGGCGUCGUUGCGAAGCCUCUGGCGUGAGCCUGGGUUGAACGGCGUCUAGUGCAGAUCUUGGUGGUAGUAGCAAUUAUUCAAAUGAGAACUUUGAAGGCCGAAGUGGAGAAGGUUUCCGUGAGAACAGCAAUUGGUCACGGGUGACUCGAUCCUAAGACAUGGGGGAAAUCCUUGUUAAGUGCGCGCUUGCGCGUAGUCGAAAGGGAAUGAGGUUAAUAUUCCUCAAGCUGGAUGUGGGUGUUGUAUGGCAACAUAAGUGAGUCUGGGGACGCCGGCGCGAGCCUCUGGAAGAGUUAUCUUUUCUUUUUAACAGGUCAGCGGCCCUGAAAUGGGAUUAUCCCGAGCUAGGGCGGCAAAUCUGGAAGAGUGCCUCGCUUUCCGGGGCAUCAGGUGCGCUCGCGACGGUCCAUGAAAACCCGGAUGAGAUAGUUUCACACCAGGUCGUACCCAUAACCGC